UACGAGGGGGGCAAGCGUUGUUCGGAAUUAUUGGGCGUAAAGGGUGCGUAGGCGGUCUGUCGCGUCGGAUGUGAAAAUCCAGGGCUCAACCCUGGACCUGCAUUCGAUACGGGCAGACUAGAGUUCGGCAGGGGAGACUGGAAUUCCUGGUGUAGCGGUGAAAUGCGCAGAUAUCAGGAGGAACACCGGUGGCGAAGGCGGGUCUCUGGGCCGAAACUGACGCUGAGGAGCGAAAGCGUGGGGAGCAAACAGG
rnacentral:rRNA from 1 species